rnacentral:lncRNA from 1 species
AUGAGAGCCAGCAGGUCACCCCUCCUCUUCAGUGGCAGCAGCAGCACUGGAAGUGGCCCCUGCAGUGUGAAGCUCCUGGGAUUUUCCCCACCCUUUACCAGAACUUUGUUUCUCUCUUUUCCUGGCGAGGAUGUCUCAAGACGCCUGAUGUAUAUACUCCUCCCAGCUCUUACCAGACCCAAGAUCCCCUCUGGGAGUCAUCCCUCCAAGUUCAUCCUGAGAGUAGAACUGAAAGCAGAGAAGAAAGAGGGACCGUAUUCCCUUUGAACGCAGCCGACAUCUGGAUGUUCCAAGCCUGGCCUGCUGGACUCCCAAGAAUGGGUAAUAUCUGAAUGUGAAUAGACACUGAGCUCUUAAACAUGACACAGUUCCAAGCACAACACCCAAUGAGGUAGGUACUGUAACCACCCCAGUUCACAAGUGACGAAAGGAGGGCCCAGAGAGGUUAAUAGCUGGAAAGUGGCAGAACUAGGAA